rnacentral:rRNA from 1 species
AGUGAACGCUGGCGGUAGGCCUAACACAUGCCAGUCGAACGGCAGCACAGGAGAGCUUGCUCUCUGGGUGGCGAGUGGCGGACGGGUGAGGAAUACAUCGGAAUCUGCCCAGUCGUGGGGGAUAACGUAGGGAAACUUACGCUAAUACCGCAUACGACCUUCGGGUGAAAGAGGGGGAUCGCAAGACCUCUCGCGAUUGGAUGAGCCGAUGUCGGAUUAGCUAGUUGGCGGGGUAAUGGCCCACCAAGGCGACGAUCCGUAGCUGGUCUGAGAGGAUGAUCAGCCACACUGGAACUGAGACACGGUCCAGACUCCUACGGGAGGCAGCAGUGGGGAAUAUUGGACAAUGGGCGCAAGCCUGAUCCAACCAUACCGCGUGGGUGAAGAAGGCCUUCGGGUUGUAAAGCCCUUUUGUUGGGAAAGAAAUCUUUCAGGCUAAUACCCUGGGAGGAUGACGGUACCCAAAGAAUAAGCACCGGCUAACUUCGUG